CACGUAGGGCGCGAGCGUUGUCCGGAAUUAUUGGGCGUAAAGAGCUCGUAGGCGGCCUGUUGCGUCCGCUGUGAAAGCCCGGGGCUUAACCCCGGGUCUGCAGUGGAUACGGGCAGGCUAGAGGUAGGUAGGGGAGAAUGGAAUUCCCGGUGUAGCGGUGAAAUGCGCAGAUAUCAGGAGGAACACCGGUGGCGAAGGCGGGUCUCUGGGCCAAAACUGACGCUGAGGAGCGAAAGCGUGGGGAGCGAACAGG
rnacentral:rRNA from 1 species